UACGUAGGUCCCGAGCGUUGUCCGGAUUUAUUGGGCGUAAAGCGAGCGCAGGUGGUUUAUUAAGUCUGGUGUAAAAGGCAGUGGCUCAACCAUUGUAUGCAUUGGAAACUGGUAGACUUGAGUGCAGGAGAGGAGAGUGGAAUUCCAUGUGUAGCGGUGAAAUGCGUAGAUAUAUGGAGGAACACCGGUGGCGAAAGCGGCUCUCUGGCCUGUAACUGACACUGAGGCUAGAAAGCGUGGGGAGCAAACAGG
rnacentral:rRNA from 1 species